UACGUAGGUGGCGAGCGUUAUCCGGAAUGAUUGGGCGUAAAGGGUGCGUAGGUGGCCAUGUAAGUUAGGUGUGAAAGACCGGGGCUUAACCCCGGGGCGGCACUUAAAACUGUGUGGCUUGAGUACAGGAGAGGGAAGUGGAAUUCCUAGUGUAGCGGUGAAAUGCGUAGAUAUUAGGAGGAACACCAGUGGCGAAGGCGACUUUCUGGACUGUAACUGACACUGAGGCACGAAAGCGUGGGGAGCAAACAGG
rnacentral:rRNA from 1 species